UCCAUCCAUAUCACCAAUUGUAUUAACAAGCAACCCAUUCACACUAUUCCAAUUAGGAACAAACACAUUAGGUUCACAACAGAAUCAAAUCAGAUAUUCAUAUCAAAGAUCCAAAUGUUCAAGAAGAGAUCGUACAAACUAGAACUAAGUUGUCAUAUGAAGCUAAAAUCUUUAUAUAAUACAUAAUAUUUAUCCUUUUAAAGACUAAUUCUUCUAUACUUGCUCCUGACUCCUGC
rnacentral:lncRNA from 1 species